rnacentral:piRNA from 1 species
GGCUAUUUCAGACAGAGAAUAAAAGAGCCA